rnacentral:lncRNA from 1 species
GACGAGCCGCCCCAUUUAUAGCCUGCCUCUGUCCGUAAUGGCUCGUGUUGAGGAGCAAAAUGAAUCAGCCGCAGACCGUAGCAUCUAAUCCGACCACGUGAGCUCCUGCAAAUCCUUCUAGCUUACCGCAAUUUGUUGCCGGAGUUGGUCCCCCGCGGCACCCUCUCUCGCCGGCCUAUAAAAAGGCACCCUGAGCCAAUGUGUAGCCACCAAACGAACCACACCUCACCAUAACCUCGCCGAAACCCUCAGAAGGCCUCUGGAGGGCCUUCUUCCCCGCCUCCGGCCGCCCGAUUUGCUUCGGUCCUCGGCAAAAUUUGCCCAUGUGGAUGCAUCCCAGUGGCCCAGUUCUUGCCAGCAAGAUCCUCGAGCAGUAUCCCUUCUAACCCGCGCGAGGAUUCUCUGAGUGCAGGCCUCUCUAUCGAGAUCCCGCUGCACCCGAAAUGCUGCUCGCCGGAGUUUUGAGCUGUCAUCGAUGUGGUGGCCGCCGGCGAGUGCCUCCACCUCCAUCAGCUGCAGAACCUCCUUGUGAGUGCACCCGCAUGCCUCUUCCAGUGUGGUUCGUCGCAGGAUGCCGUCGACGGCACUACGAGCUUCAUCCGCCGCCGAGGUAGAUUCAAACCUGAGAGUGGAGGCCCACUGUCAUGAUUCGAAUCUUUGCGAACCAUUUUUCUGAAGUGCAUUUUCCAGAGUACGUUUCCGGUUUGGUUACUUUCAACGGAGCGCUUUGCUUCUUUCCAGUCACCCCCGUGGGAUAUUUCUGUUUUAUUACAAAUCAGUCCCUGAGUUCAUUUUCUUUAUAACUUUUAAACUACACGGUCUUUUCUAGUGAUUUUUUUGCGAAAUCUUUCUAUUGUUGUCUAGUUUACUUUCAUAUAUAUCCAAAAAUAUUUUAAGACAAGAUUUUGGACUGUGAUAUUUAUGUUAGAACCGACGAGUGUAACAUAGAUACCGACGAGGGAAGCAUCGACGUUAACUUCAUCGAGCUCGAUCCCAGCUUCGUCGAACUAGGCAAGCUGUCUACGCAAUUGAUGUGAUUGUUUGUUGUUAGUAUUGUUAGUGUUUGCUGCAUAUGAAUACUUGCAUAAGAUAAACUCCAUCAUAAUAACACCUGCUUACGAGAUGAAUUAUUUCUUAACAAGGUUGAUCAUCAAGGUGAUGAUGAGAGGCCUUGGACAACUUAGUCACAUGUGACGUGAUAGGUUGUGGCCUGAGCAUGCCAGUGGCAUGAUACCGUGUGGAUAAGUUUUACAACUCUAGUGUCGGCAUAGAUCGAGUCUUGUCAGUACGUCACCUUACUUUCCGUGCUACCACAUGUCUUUCAGAAGGGAAUAUGGUGUAGUAUGUCAUAAACCUAUUAUCAGAUACACACCAACUAGAGGGGCCAGGAUGAAGGUCUCCAUGGCCUUGGCAUAAAGCCGAUCAUCUGGUCAGGAGGCAUGGGUGUUUCCGGUGUGGGAUUGAGAGGGAGGGCACUCCCUUGUAGCGCACGGUAGAAAUGUGAUCCAAUUCUAUUCGAGGGCGUUGGCUUCCCCGUCUUAGAGUUUUUCCCCUGAGAGAGUUACUCGGGUGAUGCCGGGCCUCGCUGGGUAAAAAUGGGUGUGUGCUGGUUCAGAGUGUUUACUUCUGAAAUACCGUACGCGGGAUUAGUCUUAGUGACUAUGGAAACCCGUUGGUUGUGGGUAAAUAGUACACCCUUUGCAGAGUCAAAACUAUUCGAGUAGCCAUGUCCAUGGUCAAGGACGACUCGUUGACACGUCAAGUAUCGGUCUAAGUGUCAGUCUGUGGAGAAUGGGUUUGUUUAUGAAAGUGCUAAUGCUGACAUUCGACUAUGACGAUGGAACUAACUUGAUGAAACUUCGUUAUUUUAAAUAUCUCGAAGGUUGGUUGUACCACCCGGAUAUUAAUUUACUUUUAUGCCAUUUCUGUGGUGUCGCUAAGACAGCCGACUGAGGUGAGUAUUUACUUUUAUGCUCUUUCUAUGGUAUUGCUAAGACACCCGACUAAGGCGAGCAUUUACUUUUAUGCCCUUUCUGUGGUGUCUCUAAGACGCCCAACUGAAGCGAGUAUGUACUUUUAUGCCCCUUGUGUUGCUUCGCUGAGACGCACGACUGAGGCGAGUAUUUACUUUUAUGCCCUUUCUGUGGUGUCGCUAAGACGCCCGACUGUGGCUUGUUGUUUAUUAUGCCUUGUAUGUGGUGUCACUUGGACGUCCGAUGGUGGUUAUUUAUUUUACUUGUUAACCUUUAGAGGCGUCGCUUCAGACACCCGAUUGGUGUAUUUUUAUUUUUGUUUGGAUAUUUUGGGAGGACUACCGCCCAACUUACCUACUCUAAUUAAUUGCUAUUAUUUUUUUACCAUGAUAAUUGUGAUAAUUAACCAUGCAUAUGAAAUUGUUGCAUUCAUCUUAUCUUUUGUGGAAAUUGUCUUGCCAGUACUUUCAAAGUACUCACUGGCUUGUUGAUGUGCCAAAUAUAGGUGAAGGAGACCUCAUGGAUGAAGAGUAUGAUAGCGAGUCCAAUGCCUAGAGGAGUCCCGGUCAGUCUUGUGAUCUUGGAGUCUGCCGUUGUAUUAUUUCACCACUUCCGCCACCACAAAUAAAUAGUCAAGCCUCACUCCCAUGCUUGCCAUGUAGUAGUACUUAAGCCGUGUCACUUCGCUCUGAUGUGGCAUGCCUACAUUUUAUGCGAGCAGUAGAGCUACCCAUGACCAUUGUGAUAUAUCCGCCCUUAUAUUAAGUAUGGGUGCGUUGUAAUAAACCAUAGAGCGACCUCUGCUCUUCCAUGUUUAAUAUUAAGUACUACUGGUUUUCUAUAUCAAGAUUGGUCUAUAAGUGUGAAUGAUUUUCUACACUGGUGACAUUCAUGGCUGAUUUCCAAUAAGUUUAUUUAUUUGGAAACCGGUCCUGACACCUUAGCACCCUCAGUCUAGCGGUCAAGUUGAGUUGAGUAACCGAGAAAUAAAAUUAUUCUUGCAAAGGACUAUUAAUAGAUCUAGAAAGAACUGGUCUAAUAAACUUGAUGAUGCUUGCUACUUGUGAGUUGCGUUGG